UAUUAUUAUAUUAUUAAGAUUAAAUUCUCCUGUGCGGAGUGCAUGCAUCUCAUAAUCACAUCUCACCGCACUGUACCGAUCCUUGACAAAUCGUCAUGUCAAAUACAAAUACGUCACAUCACAUGCAACAAAUCGGCUCGCCAUCGAUAGAAUAUGGAGAUUUACAGAUUAGUCUUCAAAUAUCGAAAAGGAGGACAUGUAGGAGGACACUUUUCGAGAGAGGACAGAACUUACAAAAGGAGGACUGUCCUCCCUAAAGGAGGACGAUUGGUCACCUUACUGUCAGAGGCUCCAGAUGAUUUAUAAUAUUUUAAAUCAUAUAGCAAUUUAUUUACGUUUUGGAAAAAUGUAUAGCUGCUUAUCUCAAGACAAGUUACAAGAACAACAAAAGCAUAAGAAAUUUAUUAUGUGUAAUCACUAGGGAGGAAAGACAAUCUGGGAAGCCCCCUAAAAUCCCAAAGGAAUGAGCCUCAAGACAGAAGUUGUAACCCCAACAUCUAUAUAUAAUUCUCAUUGAAAGAAUUAUUUCUUCAUUUUUCUUUAUUAAAAUGUUCCUGAUGUUCAGACACCAGGCUAGUUAGGACUGGGCUGAUUUUGCUUCAUCCAGACACUUCCUGUCCUCCUGAGGUUUUGAACGUAGAUUGGGGCCUGAUGCCACGAUCGCAAAUGCCUUUUCCAGAGACGUUGUACCAAGCCUAUUCAUCUCUCAUCCACCUAAUACUUGGCCUAUUUAUCUACCAUCUGGAUCUGUCUGGUUGGGGCUUUUUACAUUCUUUUUUUUUUUUUACUUUCAGAAGAAAUAUAACACACAUCAAGCUUCAGAAAUAUUAAGCAGAAAGCUGAUGGAAAUCAGAAUCAAUCAUCCAGAUAUUUCCCAGGAGACCUAAUAUGCAUGGAAAAUGUCAAGUCACUUAAGUAAUUUGCAGAAGCUUAGUUCCACGGUGAUUCUGUUUGAUAAGAAUGGGUAUUAAUGCUACCUCAGUGAGCCUUUUUAUGUCCUGCCUGAUUUAUAGGUGAUUUCGAUAAAAAUCACUGAAUUGAAAGUGAUAAACUAGCAGGAAGAAGAUACCAACUGUUUGUGUUCUGGUUUCUGACACUGAAUCUGAUUUUCCGGCUAUCACUGUCAUCCUCUUGGCCUUCUAAUUAUGCUAACAAAGAACCUGAAUACUGAUUAAUAUCAAAAUAUGGCAAUUCAAGAUUGCAUUGUAGGAUGUGGUGUUAAGAGGACGAAAUGUUGCAUAAUUUUUAUUCCUGUUAUAAUUUUAGGAAAUGUUCAUCAUAUAAAUAUAAUUCACUUGAUACUUUGACUUUUUUCCUUUUUAAAAAAAAAACAGGACUGAUUCACUAACAAUAUCCAAAACAUGUUCCUGCCUGCUUGUUUUUUCCCUCUUUUGUUUCAAGCUCCAUGCUGAGACCAAGGGAUAAAAAUUACUACCUCAUUCUGAGUUGCAAAAACAAAAUAAAAUAAGUUGCUUAGAUGCUCCUUCCUCGGUCCACUUCAAAAUGUUAUAUGCAAAUAUUUUAAAAAUUCCAAUGCCCUGUUAGAUGAAUCUGAAAAAUCAUUAUAUGAUCUUUCCCUCUAGAGAUCAGAAUCCAGGAAGGUAAGAAGCCUUUAAGAUGAAGGAAUGAACUGCCUACAAACUCCACAGAGCUACAGUGCUUGCACAUGUCUAUAUGUGCACACACAUGUUUAAAGACCUACAGUAGUUUACUAAGGCAUUUGAUCUGCUGCCAGGGAUCCCCCAUUUCAGGUUGUGAUCAUCUAUGUAUCUUUCAUCUAUAUCUCUCUCUGAACAGUAAUAGGCAAUUCUUUAAAACAUUUUAGAUUUGGAAAGGAAGACAUUUUCCUACUGUCCUCUAGACACUUAUUUCAAAAAUUCAUAACUACUCUUAAUUUCUCUAUUUCAAGAGAUGUGAUAAUGUUUGAAAUAAUGAAGGAACAAGUUUUGGCUCAAGCUUUCUGUCCUUCUAGCUUCUACUGUGUUCUCCUGAAAAUGACCUAUCCCAAAAAUAAGCCCUAGCUUGAUUUUUACAUGUGCGCCCAAUGUAAGCCCUACCCCAGAAAAAGCCCUAGUUUUGGACUGAGGCAUGUGUGUAAAAAUCAAGCUGGGGAGCUUGGGGGGUAGAGCUACUCCACACACUCUACACCUACUUACCUUAGGACCACUGCAGCCAGGCCUCUAACAGCCCAACAUCUGUCACACUGCUGUUUGAGUUCUUCUGUGGCUGCUUGUGACCAUAUAUGUGGUGCAAUGCACUGCUGCUAUCAGUUGCGACUGGAAGCUGCAUGGCACAUCACACCAAUUGCCCCGGUGCCACCGCUCAUGGUAAGAGGUCAUGAGGCUCAUCGCGCCAAUUGCCCUUGCAAGCAGCAGCAGUGGUGCAAUCAGCAUGAUCUCAUGGCCUCAUGCUACAAGUGGCUGCAAUGGCACAACAUGCCAUGUGGCAUGCAGCUGCAAGCGGCCACAGAAGAACUCAGGCAAUAGCGCAACAGGUGUCGGGGUGUGGGAGGCCUGGCUGCAGCAGUCCUAAGAUAAGCGGAUAAGACAUCCCCUGAAAAUUAGACCUGGUGCCUGGCAAAAAAAUAUAUAUAUAUAUAAGACCGGUUCUUAUUUUGGGGAAAACAUGGUAGUUCAAAUAAAAGGUCAGUAUCAGCUUCUGAAGUGUUAUUUCACUACACAUUUUUAACUUGUGCCUUCCUGUUCUCUUCCAGUAAAUUGGACAAAGCAGUGAGAAAAAAGUAGGGGCUUUUUGGAAACAUUACUAUGGAGACUGUUUCCAUGAAUGUGGCAUCAUAAAAAAGAAUUCGUAAUCAUACUUUGAUCAUUCUUUUCUCUCCUUCUGAAAAAAAAAAUGGGGAUAAUAUCUGAUUAUUCUGAUUUGAAAUUGGUACAAUCAGACUGUGAACUUAUUUUUCAAUUAAUACAUUGAUUACAUAUAUUCUGGUUACACAUGCAUUGUUUGCAAUUAUCAUCACUAAUUACAAUGAUACUCCACCUUACAUAAUGUAGGAUUUAAAAUUUAGAAAUUGAAGGUUUCUAAAGUCUCUCAAGUGAUCAGAAUGAUGCACGAUUAGCUGUCUGACUCCAUCCUUUGACUCUGUGGUUAAUAUGGAAACCUAAUGUAAGGGGUUGCCUGUUUAGAUACCUCUCAAGCAAUAACAACCUCAAAGCAUCUAUUCAGCACUGCAUUUAGUUGCUGAAUCAGACCUGGAACAAUUACUGGAAUACUUGUGAGGUUGACCAUCACACAAAUGAAUUUACUGACCAAAAUAGUAGAACAAGUUUGCUUUACAAAGUAUGGUACCAAUUAACAUAAAUGAAUUUUUAUCAUUAAAUUGUGGAUAGAUCUGAAUGCAUGAUGAAGCAAAGAUGACUUCAGGAAUCAUGAUGUGGCUUAGCUGGUGUGGCAUUAAUUAUGGAAAAUAGAAAGUCAUAAUUGAAAAAAAUCAUAUAUUUGACUAUCUGUGGUAUAUUUAUCUACUUUUGUAGCCAAUUCAUGCAAAACUGAUCAAAUGCAGUAAUAAAUUACUGAACACAAAACUGAAUCUAGAGGGAAAGAAACCAAUGCUACACAAUUGAUUAUAGCCGUUAUAAAAUUAUAGAAUUUUAAUCUUCUAAAAGUAAGUGCUGUAAGGUAAAUUUUGAAUACAAUAUUAAUAUGUGUUAGGAAAGAUCAGUGACAUUUGCUUAAAAUAAUUACAAUACAAAGAAUAAAAGUUUCCUGGAAUUACAAAAACUGUAUUUUAUGAAUUUUGUGCUUAAAAUUAUGUGCCAAGAAAUUUAUACCGAAGAGUUUGCACAUUUGAGUUAUUGUGCACUAUGUUGAUUUGAGGAGGGACAGGAAACUAAGUAGAGUCUUUUGCCACCAGUAACUUCCUAGAAAUCUUAUGAAGCUACUUCUGCCUUCUAAGCUGAUUAUCUCACUAGAAAUUGUUCAAACAUUUUCAAGCAGAACAAAUAUUGGCUUUUUCCAUCCACUCAAGAAACAUGGGUUACUUUCCCAAUAAUGACUUAUAUUGCCUUCUAGAUGUAUCCAUUAUUUAUUUAUUGGAUUUAUAUAUCAUCCAUAUCAUCUGGAGGUAACUGAUUGGAAUCACUGAACCACUGGACUGAUCACAUUAAUGAAGACUGUGUGAUGCUAGAAGUGACCAAUGAGGAAAUGGCUAUAGAUUCCUUAGGAAGCUGAAUUCUAAAGUUAAUAUUUAAUAUUCUGCUAAUGUCAAAUAUAUCUAUGUUAUAAUAAAACAACAUCAGAAACAGAAAUAAUAUAAAAAUACAUCCAUAUAUAAGCAAUUGUAUCUGCAAUUGUAUCUGCAAAUAUUGUAUUAAAGAUGGGCUAAUCUCCCAUCAACAAGAAAAAUUAAAGACAAAAUAUAUACGCACCUGGUAUUGCACUGAAUGUUCAUCAAGGAAUGUGUGUAUAGUAAUAUCUAGAGCUUAAUUGCUGUAGAGCAACAGCAUUUUUAAAAAUAUACAAAACAAGAACACUCUUGUCAAGAAAUAGUCUAAUAUUGUGCUUCAUUAUUCUUCCAUCAAUGCUUAAAACUUGAAGCAAACCUCAAGAAACUACUUUUAUUAAUAUAAACUAUCAAAUGAGUAAAAAAAAAAUUCUAUUCAAGUUAAGUCCUUGGAGGUAUUAAUAUGAAUUACUAUUUUCAGCUUUUUUUAGAAGGUUUAAUAUAUAUUGUUUAUUUUUUAUUAUUGAAGCAGACUAAAUUAUAACCAUGUAUAUGGAAUAUAUCUAUUUCUGCUGUUCGUAGACAUUAAUUUUAACUUCAAAAUGAAUCCACAGAGAAAUAGAUUAUAACACUGGUUAUAAAUUAUAUAGUUGAUGCCAAUAUUCCUCUAUUGCAUUAUAAAAAUCACAGCUUUUUGUGUUGUUGUUAAAAUAAAUGUCAGGUUUAAAUUUUAAAUGUGCAAGAUUGAUUACUUUGAAAAAGUGAUAAUCAUUAAAAAAAAA